rnacentral:snoRNA from 1 species
UAUUCACUCAUUCAAUUAUUGAUGGCCAUUGUUAAGAGUGAAUUACUGUUUAAACAGAGGUGCAAACAGCAACUGGAUCUCGUCGCCUUUGCGGAGCUGUGGCUGUGCCCCUCAAAGUGAAUUUGGAGGUUCUACAUUC